UCUAAGGCAUAACGCACAAGCACAAAUGAGAUUGGACUCACUGUGCCACACACCGCGGUGGAAGCUAUGUGCAUCACAGCGUAUUGUCUAGGGAUUAUUUAAAGCUGAUAUGAUCAACUUGUGAAAUUAAAAGAUAAACUGUUGGAAAUGCAUCUAAAAGGGAAGAGGAGUACAUCUCUACUAGGGCAAGCCUUAUCUAACUAUUGGGAAUCUGCUUCGAUUAGUAAUUUGUUAGGUGAAGAGAGCAUAAGAAGGCUAGGAAAGAAAUCGAAGAAAGAGUAGCCUCACUUGAUAAUGGUAUGACUACCAUUCAUAUAAAUGAAUGUAUAAUGAGUUGUGAUAGUAGAGUUUCCAACUAGAAUAUAUAAGUGAAUGUGUAUAUGAAUUGCGUCGUGAAUCUUGCUUGUAUAUAUACAUAUGAUGUGCAUCUCACCGAGAGUGCCCUAGUGAAGGGUACAUGGGUAGGCCUAGAUGCUAUUCAAGCAAGUCUGUUUUGUUAUGUAACUUGUUCCACUUGUAUAUAUUUGAACUAAUGUGAUGAUUAUGUAUUGAUUAUGAGUUGCGUUGCUA